rnacentral:rRNA from 1 species
UGGGGAAUAUUGGACAAUGGGCGAAUGCCUGAUCCAGCCAUGCCGCGUGUGUGAAGAAGGUCUUCGGAUUGUAAAGCACUUUAAGUUGGGAGGAAGGGCAGUAAGUUAAUACCUUGCUGUUUUGACGUUACCGACAGAAUAAGCACCGGCUAACUCUGUGCCAG